UGCCCGGUAGCUAAAUGCGGAAGAGAUAAGUGCUGAAAGCAUCUAAGCACGAAACUUGCCCCGAGAUGAGUUCUCCCUGAGACUUUAAGUCUCCUGAAGGAACGUUGAAGACGACGACGUUGAUAGGCCGGGUGUGUAAGCGCAGCGAUGCGUUGAGCUAACCGGUACUAAUGAACCGUGAGGCUUAACCUUACAACGCCGAAG
rnacentral:rRNA from 6 species